rnacentral:rRNA from 1 species
AUUGAACGCUGGCGGCAGGCCUAACACAUGCAAGUCGAGCGAAUGACGGGAGCUUGCUCCUUGAUUCAGCGGCGGACGGGUGAGUAAUACCUAGGAAUCUGCCUGAUAGUGGGGGACAACGUUUCGAAAGGAACGCUAAUACCGCAUACGUCCUACGGGAGAAAGCAGGGGACCUUCGGGCCUUGCGCUAUCAGAUGAGCCUAGGUCGGAUUAGCUAGUUGGUGAGGUAAUGGCUCACCAAGGCGACGAUCCGUAACUGGUCUGAGAGGAUGAUCAGUCACACUGGAACUGAGACACGGUCCAGAGUCCUACGGGAGGCAGCAGUGGGGAAUAUUGGACAAUGGGCGAAAGCCUGAUCCAGCCAUGCCGCGUGUGUGAAGAAGGUCUUCGGAUUGUAAAGCACUUUAAGUUGGGAGGAAGGGUUGUAGAUUAAUACUCUGCAAUUUUGACGUUACCGACAGAAUAAGCACCGGCUAACUCUGUGCCAGCAGCCGCUGUAAUAC